CCGCGCAGCCGCCGCUGGAGCCCGUGGCGGUGCCGCCGGCGCCGGUAAGGCCCAGAACCGCCGCGCCGGCCGCCGCGAUCCUCCAGACACCUUCCAACUUGAAAAUCCUACGAUCUGAAGGGUUUUCUCUUCACUGAUUGCACUUAGGAUGACAAACAGCCUUCAGGCAGUCACUGGAGGUGGUACAUUAAGAGCCACGUGAGGCUCAGCUGCAGAGUGAGGCUCCGCCCGGCGCUGCCCGAGGCAGCCUACAGAGAGCCCGAGCUGGCCAGAUGCAAGGCGCCCCUGCGGUCACAGCAGCGUCUACCGCAGAGCGUGCAGAGUGCUCCACAGACAAAAUAGAGAGCUCAGUGCUCAGCUAAAGAAUGAAUGCAAUGUUUCUCUGCCAUUACUAUGGUGCUCAUAUCUACAUCGGGAAGACUUAGAAUACCUCCAGGCAAUGCACAUUUCUAGAUAAAAAUAGUCAAGUGCCUCUUUUAAAAACGCAUGUACAUAAUAUAUACAGUUUUGAAGGAGAUGAAAAAAAAAAUCCUUGUACUAAUGAAGUUUCUGAGUCCUAAGCAAACAUACCCUAA